GAGAGGAGCCAAAUUUAGAAAGUAUGUGGGCCAUUCUGCACAUGUCACAAAUGUCCGCUGGUCCCAUGACUUUCAGUGGGUGUUGAGCACAGGAGGGGCUGAUCACUCAGUUUUCCAGUGGAGGUUUAUUCCAGGUGUCAGCAACGGCAUGCUGGAAACUACACCCCAAGAAGGUGGAGCUGAUUCCUACAGUGAAGAAUCUGAUUCAGAUUUAUCUGAUGUGCCCGAACUGGACUCUGAUAUUGAGCAAGAAGCUCAAAUCAAUUAUGAUCGCCAGGUUUACAAAGAAGAUCUACCUCAGCUAAAGCAACAAAGUAAAGAGAAAAACCACGUAGUGCCCUUCCUCAAACGAGAAAAGGCUCCUGAGGACAGCUUGAAACUCCAGUUCAUACACGGGUGGGUGGCCUGUCAUGGGCGCCCGUACGUGUUCCUCUGUCUCUGCCUGGCUGUCACCAACCUUAGCACCAGGCUUAAGGGAUCCCCUCCCCUCAGUGUCGUCCUCCUCCUGGCUAGCUCUUCUCUGCAGUGUGCACUUGUACCUGUGGUUGCUAUUUUAAGUGUGACUCUCUAUCCACUUCCCUCGUUGAUGUUCUGUGGCCAUCACAGUGUGAUUGUCUCUAGAUUUCUCAGACUUCGUAGAAUUCCAUGACUUAAAGGGUGCUGCUGCUCAUUGCUGCUGCACUUCUUUCUCAUCACCAUCUUCACUUCCUCUUUCUCCUUUCCCCUAAUCCCCUGCUGUGUUUUGCUGGCUCCACCAUAGGACAGUAUUUUCUUCAAAUAUUUUCUGCACAUGUGCCCAAAAUAAUUUUGAAUUUUAUAAAAUUAUAUGCACCCUUGCAUAUUUUAAGUAGACAACUAAAACUUUUUAAUGUCGGUUUAAAUGGCUGAGAAGAUACUAUCUGUAUUAUGAAUACCUCAGUCCUUUAAAUGGAUGCAAAGGAACCUAAAUGCCAUAAAUGUUUGAUUCUCACUAUGAUCAACUUAAAAAAUACGUGAGACCAGACACAGUGGCUCACACCUGUAAUCCCAGCCCUUUGGGAGGCUGAGGCAGGUGGAUUGCUUGAGCCCAGGAGUUCGAGACAUGGUGAAAUCUCAUCUCUACAAAAAACUAGCCAGAUGUGGUGGCAUGUACCUCUAGUCCCAGCUACCCAGGAGGGAAGUUGAGGUUGGGGAAUCACCUGAGUUGGGGAGGUCUAGGCUGCAAUGAGCUGUGAUCUUGCCAGUGCACUCCAGCCUGGUUAACAGUGAGGCCCUGUCUCAAAAGGGGAAAAAAAAUACCUGAACAAGUCCUUCUAAAAUAGGAAGCUAUUUUACAUCAUUCAUAUUUCUACCUAAGUUCACAUUUCCAUUCUAAUUUUCCCAUAAAAUUUUACCCUAACAUAAUCUUUUUAUGCUUGAGAGUCCUUUGUCACCAUGUCAUACCCUCUGCAAGAAAAAAAAUUUUUCUGUGGUCCUAAGACUCUAAGUCAGCCCAAUACAAUAUCCACUAGCCACACACAGUCACUGAGCACUUAAAAUAUGGCUAUUCUGAAAAAAGAUGUUCUGCAUGUGUAAAAUGCACACCAAUUUUGAAGACUUACUAUGAAAAGAGGAAUGUAAAAUAUCUCAUAAGUUUUUAUAUUGAUUACAUGUUGAUAUAGUAAUAUCUUAGAUGUGUUUUGGGUUUAAAAUGUUACUGAAAUAAAUUUUUUUUUCUAAUAUGGCAACAAAUUUUUAAUUAGGAGGAUCAUGUUAUUUUUCUGUUAGAUACUGUUGCUCCAUUAACAGUUUAUUUGAAUUAUAAUUAUUAGUAAAGUCGACUAAAUCAACAUGAAUAUAUUACUAAUUGUGACAUAUAAUUAUUAAGCACAGAAAAAUUUUGUUGGAAAUUAUUUUGAUAUGAUGGAUUGGUUUUCAGUUGCAAGAUCUGUGCAUUUAUAUUACUUGCCGUUAGAAUGUAACAAAGUUUAAUAUUGAGUCUAUUCUCAGUUCUCAUUUUUGUAUAGAUGUAAGCAGUGAGAAAGUUUAUUCUCUUAAAUAAUUAGGUAAGAAUGGAGGCCAUUUUAUAGCAAUGUUAUUCAAUUCUUCAAACUCCUGUGAUAGGCCAAAAAAGUCAUAUUUGAUUUCGAUAUAUCACAAAAAAUAAUGAUCUUUCAGCUGGUAAUUCCAUUAAGUCUCUGUACAAUUUUGUUGAAAGCAAAGAAUUGGAAAUCACUUGAUUUGCAGGAAUCCUUAGCCAGUCAUUAGAGUUGUUUUCUUUCAACAUGCAUACUUGUAUUUUGAAUUGUUCCUUUGUUUUGGUGCCCCUGGAAGGGUCUGUGUCCCAGAGUAAUACAGUGUAAUAGGAUUCCAGAUGGAGGAGAGGAAUGGCUUUCUGCAGUGGGCAGAAGGCAUUUAUGAGAGGGGGGAUGGGAAAGGAAUACCUGUGCCUCAUCACAGAUGUGUUCUCAGAUGAUCAUUUUUAAGAAAAAGCGCACACAAUAGCUGAGGAUCUCCUAACAGAUUCUGUUACAAUAUUCAGUGCCCAUGUGCCUUUUUGAGAGUCAUCUCAUGCCCUCAGACGGCCACAUAUCCUCAUUUAAACGUUGCUGUCCUAUGUGACACCUGGGGUUCCACUUGUACAUGUUCAUGUCAAUAUGUUAGCCUUGCCUCUGACACCUCCUGCUCCAUGCAUUUGCUGUUUGUUCAACCGCUAUGCAUUUCUUGGACCUGUGCUUCAGUUAUAGAGGCUACGACUGUAGAAACAAUCUGUUCUACACACAAGCUGGAGAAGUAGUCUACCACAUUGCUGCAGUUGCUGUCGUGUAUAAUCGGCAGCAGCACUCCCAGAGGCUGUACUUGGGGCACGAUGACGACAUUCUCAGCCUGAUCAUCCAUCCAGUGAAGGACUAUGUGGCUACUGGGCAGGUUGGAAGAGAUGCUGCUAUUCAUGUGUGGGACACACAAACUCUAAAAUGUUUGUCGCUGUUGAAAGGACAACAUCAGAGAGGAGUGUGUGCACUUGAUUUUUCAGCCGAUGGAAAAUGUCUGGUGUCGGUUGGUUUGGACGAUUUUCACAGUAUUGUAUUUUGGGACUGGAAAAAGGGAGAAAAGAUAGCCACAACAAGGUAAGAAGCUGCCGGGAUCUUACGGUAUCCUGCUGAUACCACGGUUCAGUAAAGGUCAAUAGUUUUCAUUUUCUGGUAAGAUUUCAUCUUCAAACUCAGGUGAAAUUGACGUAGAACGCUUAGCACCUAAGUGAAAAAAUACUGCAGUAUUUCAUGGUGCCAAACCUGACUUAGAGCAGGUCAUGUUUGUUGCGGUGAAUCAGAAAAUUCCGAAAUCCUCUGCAGAGAGUCAUUCACCGCUUCAUUUUGAGUGGUCUGUGUGAUCUGUAUCAAAGCACUUCAGCAACAGAAAAGCAGCUUUUCUCAGGCUGGUGCCUUGCCCCUUGUUUUUCUUCUGUCCUAGCAUCUGGUGAAGGAUUGUCAAUGUCACCAGAAUCAGAAGCACCGUUUGUCAUGAGGCUGCAGCAUGCUGGAAAGGAGGCCCCACUGUGUGCAUCUGCCACUUGGUUUCAAAGCAGGCAAAUUGUUUCCCUAAUCUCCCGUCUUAUAAAUAGAUUUUUUGAGACCGACUGCUGUUUAUAGACCACCUGUCCUCCCUUACCCCAGCCUUCCUGCCUGCUGAAUCAGCACUAAGUCUGAACACGACUUUCCACUCCUACUUACAUUGAGCUCAGCUGUUUGCCCAACCCUGAUCAGGGGUCAAAAUAGUUGGCAGCCAAGGCCCAGCAAUACAAUUUAUUGCCGAGGCGUGUUGUCAGUGUACCUCCCUGCUCGUUCUUCUCUGCAUUAAUGAUGUCCUUUCUAUCUUGCGAUAUAAAAUCAUUUUGAAGUUAAUAGCCUUGAACCCCAAUAUUCACUUUUUAAAGUAAUAUUUUCCUCUACAAUAUUAAAUAGGAAAAAAGUUUUGUGGGGAUUUAAUGAAUGAAGAUUUAUAAAUUGCUAGAGACCUGGAGGAACAGCAGAUGGAGGCAUGAGGACUCCAACUGACCAUCUUCGGAGAAAAAGGGAAGCUUUUCUGAUGACUGCUGUUGAGAUUGAAUUCUUGGCAACAAAUGACAGCUCAUACAUCUGCCUGCCCAAGUGGUUUUUCUUCUGGUCUUUGUUUCUAGUAUUCCUCACUGUCAUUCUACUCCCUUCUAGUAGUACUCAGAUUCAGCUUCUCAUCAGAACUCUGUUCCCCCCAGACUAAAAUACAGAAUUUAAGUUUAAUAUUUCUGAUAAUAUACCAUCUGCCUUUACAGAUAAUUUCAGGGAAAGCACAUUUCUGGAUUUCAAAAGCAACAGAAAUGCAAUUUUCCUGCUAGAAAACCCUCUGCAGCUGUGGGUGGCUCACCAGUUUUAUGCCCGAAACAUUAAUAGAAAUGGAACAAAGAAAUAUUUCUUAAUAUUAAAAUAGUAUAUAUUUUAUAUACUUGAUGGAUAGUGUUACUGCCUCUAUUUAACACAAAGUUGACUUAACGCCAUUAUGUUAAUAACACAAUUCAUAUUUGGAAUUGCUCCCAAGCCUUAUGACACAUUCCCAAAACAGGAUACCUGCAGAAUUGCCCAGGAGAACAUUUUGGAUUGACAUUAGCCAGUGCUGUUUCCAAGCAGGAAUAUCAAGGAUUAAAGUUCUUUGGAAGAACAGUAGAUUUUACAGUAAUAAGUAAAUAAAAGUUACGUAAAUAUCUAUUUGCAUAAUAUUAACAAUGAUACAUAUUUACAUAAAUACAUAAGAAAUUUGGACAAAUAAAUAAAGCUUAUAUGUAUGGCCUUAGAGUGCUUAAGUAGAUAGAAACUUUUAAAAACAGGAGGCCGGGCAUGGUGGCUCACGUCUGUAAUCCCAGCACUUUGUGAGGCUGAGGUGGGCGGAUCUCCUAAGGUCAGGAGUUCGAGACCAGCCUGGCCAACAUGGUGAAACCCCAUAUUUUACUAAAAAUAUAAAAAUUAGCCAGGCGUGGUGGCGGGCGCCUGUAAUCCUAGCUACUCAGGAGGCAGGAAAAUCGCUUGAACCUGGGAGGCAGAGGUUGCAGUGAGCCACGAUUUAGCCACUGCACUCCAGCCUGGGUGACAGAGUGUGACUCCGUCCCAAAAAAAAAAAAAAAAAUUUAAACAGGGGCAUGAUAGAAGUGACAAAGAAGUAAUCCUUAACUGAAUGAUACCUUGCUUCCAGGGUCAUCUAAGCUCCCAAGAGGGCCUAAUUCACAGAGAAGCUGAUUCAGUCCUACCCCUCACUUUUCACUUCUGUGUCUCGAUCACUGCCAGCCUCAUUUAUAGAGCAAGGCUGAACAAUUAACCUGCUUCUGGCUGGCUGUGCUGUUUUGGCAAGGGUGAUUGUUCUGUACCACUCAUCGCCCAGGAGGUGAGAUUUCUCCACAGAGGAGGAGCAUGGUUGGUAGCUGUGGUGGCGUCGUCAGCUGUGCUGCUGGUGGCUGUGCUGACGUGUGCCACCUGUGCAACCGGGCACUCAGAAGUUGCUCCUCCCCUGAUUGGUGAGAAUAUUUUAAAUGAACCUACUCUUUAGCAGCUCACAGAAACUAGAGAAAUUCAGAAUUGGACCAUAGAGAUCUUAUUUACAAGAUAUUCAAGAUUUUGUUUUCAAGAUCUCUGUGAGACGAUCCGAUCUGUUUAAACAAUUUCCCCGCAUGCAAUCUUUGCUAAUUUUUAUGAGUGAUUUCGGUUACCUCCAUUACAAAUGAAUUUUUUAGUCUUUUUUUUUUUUUUUUUCCUAAAGAUCGUUCCAAUUUUAGUCUAGUAUACAAGUAUCCCAUUUAAGAACCAAGGCUGAUCUCUUAUAGAAGUAGUUACAGGGCGUAACAUCACUGUCAAUCAGGGCAGAAUAAUGCAAUGAUUAAUCAGGUACAUCUGUGCUCCUUUAUUUGUGCUUGUGUUACUCUGGUAGUGUGACUAGGGGAACAAUGAGUAAUUACAGACACUUUUCAUCUCAGAGUUUGAAUAGGAGGGAUCUUGGACAAAAAAGAAUUAUCAACAAGAACACUUCCCAGGCUAAUCUGAAAGUUUUGCUGCUAGAAAGCUUAGGGACAAAGGCCGGGCGCGGUGGCUCACGCCCGUAAUCCCAGCAUUUUGGGAGACCAAGGCGUGCGGAUCACGAGGUCAGGAGAUCGAGACCAUCCUGGCUAACAGGGUGAAACCCCGUCUCUACUAAAAAUACAAAAAAUUAGCCAGGCGUGGUGGCGGGCGCCUGUAGUCCCAGCUACUUGGGAGGCUGAGGCAGGAGAAUGGCGUGAACCCGGGAGGCGGAGCUUGCAGUGAGCCGAGAUCACGGCACUGCACUCCAGCCUAGGCGGCAGAGCCAGACUCCGUCUCAAAAAAAAAAAAAAAAAAAAAGAAA
rnacentral:sRNA from 1 species